rnacentral:rRNA from 1 species
CCUACGGGCGGCAGCAGUGGGGAAUAUUGCGCAAUGGGGGGAACCCUGACGCAGCCAUGCCGCGUGAAUGAAGAAGGCCUUCGGGUUGUAAAGUUCUUUCGGUAUUGAGGAAGGGAUGUGUGUUAAUAACAUACAUUAUUGACGUUAAAUACAGAAGAAGCACCGGCUAACUCCGUGCCAGCAGCCGCGGUAAUACGGAGGGUGCGAGCGUUAAUCGGAAUAACUGGGCGUAAAGGGCACGCAGGCGGUUAUUUAAGUGAGGUGUGAAAGCCCCGGGCUUAACCUGGGAAUUGCAUUUCAGACUGGGUAACUAGAGUACUUUAGGGAGGGGUAGAAUUCCACGUGUAGCGGUGAAAUGCGUAGAGAUGUGGAGGAAUACCGAAGGCGAAGGCAGCCCCUUGGGAAUGUACUGACGCUCAUGUGCGAAAGCGUGGGGAGCAAACAGGAUUAGAUACCCCGGUAGUC